AUCCCUGGAUCAUGCAAGAUUACAACUAUCCUGUUGAGUGGCAAAGCAAGAAUCCUCUUAUUCACCUUGAUGAAGAUUGUAUAACAGAACUUUCUGUACAUCACAGAAAGAACAGACAGACAAUGGAGAAUUUAAUUUCACUGUGGAAAUGUGGUCACUUGACGGCUACCUAUCUUUUGCUUCUAGCCAAGAAGGGUCGGGGAAGGCCAAUUCGCUUAAGGCUUCCUUUGUCAUAUGGACAAGCCAGUGCUACUCCAUCCAGAGACUUGGAGUCAAAGAAUCUAAGUCUAGAAGAUGUGACCACAAGUGAUGAAAAUGAUGUGGAUGGAUAUAUAGACUAUGAGUGGUGUGACGCUAAUUCAUCAAGAGGUGUGGCUCCUCCGCAAACACCACAGUUUGCCAAGCUUCGGAUAGAACCAAAUGAUCUAGAGUCUAAAUCACGGACUCCAGUGUUGUGCAGAGCAUCUGCAAAUAAAUCAAAGAACAAAGAAAAUGUAUAUAUUCCUAAAUCUGCUGUAAAGAAUGAAGAGUGCUUUGUAUUUCCUGAGCCAAAGACUCCAGUUAAUAAGAACCUGCCUAAAAGGGAAUACUUACUACACCAAACUGUUACACUACACCCUCCAAAGAUAUCAAUCAGAGUCUGAAAGAGACCCCAAUUAAAACACCCGUAAAUUCAGCAGAAACAAACAAGCUAACGACAGGAGUUAUUAGCCCUGAGAGGCGGUGCUGCCCAGUGGAAUUGAAUCUCAAUCAACUCCAUGUAGAAGAUACUCCAAAAAGAAAAGGAACCAAAGUGUUUGGAAGCCUUGAAAGGGGGUUGGAUAAAGUCAUCACUGUGCUUACUAGGAGCAAGAAGAAGAGCUCUGCCAGGAAUGGACCAAGAAGAUUAAAGCUUCACUAUAAUGUGACUACUACCAGAUUAGUGAAUCCGGAUCAACUCUUGAAUGAAAUAAUGUCUAUUCUUCCAAAGAAGCACGUGGACUUUGUACAGAAAGGAUAUACACUGAAGUGUCAAACACAGUCAGAUUUUGGCAAAGUGACAAUGCAAUUUGAACUAGAAGUGUGCCAACUCCAAAAAUCUGAUGUUGUGGGUAUCAGGAGGCAGUGGCUUAAGGGCGAUGCCUGGGUUUACAAGAGAUUAGUGGAAGACAUCCUAUCUAGCUGCAAGGUGUAAUUGAUGAUGCUGUCC